GACGAACGCUGGCGGCGCGCCUAACACAUGCAAGUCGAACGAGCGAGAGAGAGCUUGCUUUCUCGAGCGAGUGGCGAACGGGUGAGUAACGCGUGAGGAACCUGCCUCAAAGAGGGGGACAACAGUUGGAAACGACUGCUAAUACCGCAUAAGCCCACGGGUCGGCAUCGACCAGAGGGAAAAGGAGCAAUCCGCUUUGAGAUGGCCUCGCGUCCGAUUAGCUAGUUGGUGAGGUAACGGCCCACCAAGGCAACGAUCGGUAGCCGGACUGAGAGGUUGAACGGCAACAUUGGGACUGAGACAAGGCCCAGACUCCGACGGGAGGCAGCAGUGGGGAAUAUUGCACAAUGGGGGAAACCCGGAUGCAGCGAGGCCGGGUGGAGGAAGAAGGUCUUCGGAUUGUAAACUCCUGUUGUUGGGGAAGAUAAGGAGGGUACAAAACAAGGAAGUGAGGGCAAAUUACGU
rnacentral:rRNA from 1 species